GAAUGGGUGCUGGGGGGGGACAAAGUUGGGAAUUGCAGGGAGGGGUUUUAAAGUCAAGAGCUGGGGAGAGGGCUGUCUGGGAACUGUCCCUUUGGGCAGGUAAAGGCAGUGGGUUACUCUUCAGCGUGAUGUCAGCGUGUGCCAGGCAGGGCAGCUCCAGCCUGCGUGUGUCAUGGUGUAGUUUGUGUGGUCUGUUGUCUUUUGUGUCUCAAACCCUCCUUGGGUCCCAGUCUCCUCUUUGUGCUCCAGGAGCACAGCACUCAUCUUGCAGCCCAUCCUUAGGUCUUGAGCAUCAUCUGUGCUCACUCUCGUAGUGCCCGUGGGACGCUGCUUUUCUUACCUGAACUCAAAAGCCCAGCUGGGCCUCGCGACUCGGGUGUCUCCUCUUGAUCCUCUUUUUGCGCCGGUGUUGCGGUCGGUGUCGUCAGCCCCGCUCUGGAGGCUUCUCUUUCACAGGGAGAAUCUCUUUUUUUUCUGGGCAUUCUUCCCUGUGUCCUUGCAUUCUUGGGUCUUGCCAAGGCUUCUCGUGCAUCUGUCUGCUUCAGUUCUGACUGUAGCUUCUUGUCAUGGUUUGCAAUGUUUGACCUUUCUCUGGGGCUGCCUUACAGGCUCCUUACUGCUGAAAUCACAAGUGAAUUGAGUAUAGGAAUAUUGGGGCUAAUGUGUUAAUUAAAGGGAUAUCAGUUCAAAUUGCAUGCCUGUUAAAGACUUGUGCAAACUGACAACUGCUUGACCUAAGCGACUUGACUUUGGACUGGACUUGUGACUUGACUUAGCCUGAGUGUCUGGAGUGAUGAGGCCUUAGGCUGUGAUUCUAAUUAAUCUUUCGCUGAACUCCUGUGAUGAGCCUUAGUUAGACCUUGACUCUACCAGCUGUAAUAAUAUGGAAACAAGAUGUGGGCAAGAUAAUUACUCAAGACGAUCUUCUGAACUGCGAAGAUGCAUUGACUGAAAGUUAAGUGGGAGCAAUUGGACAAAAGCAGAAUGUGGAAGACUUUUCCAGCUGAGAAACAAGUGGAAGAGAGCAAGACUGGAAGCACCCAGCUCGAGCUGCAGUAAACUGAUUCUGUGGCAGAACUGAGGGUCUGAGCUUCUCUCUCAGGUUGGAGGUGAAGACUGGAUCCAGCUGCACCUAGGCUCUGCCCUGAGAAGAAGCUGAGAAACCAAGGAGGUCCUGUCUGAAGCUCACAACUCGAAAGGAGGAACUUUCUGGACUCUUCAGCACUCAUCUCAUGCUUGUGGUCUUGUAUGUCUUGCCACCUGGUGGCAUCUGCAUUGGAGGAGGAGAUUUUUAGUUGCUGGGAGUUUCCUCUCAUGCUUGUGUCACAUCCUUUGUGUUUGUGUGUUGUGUCUCUGUGCUGUUGGGUUGGAGCUGCUCUCUCUGGAGGCUGUAUCAGCUGUGGGGUUGGGAGAAGAAUAGCAAGGAGAGCCUGUGGUUUGUGUUGCUGUGCUAUCUGUGCCUGUUGGGGUGCAGAUAGAGCAUUUGAAGUGAAGUAGCAGGCCUCAGAAGGGGAAGGUGGCCAUUUUCAUAGUGUUUUUGAGAGGGGGUGGCUGGAGCCACCUGGGAGAGGCUGCUGGAGCCAUAGCCAAUCAGGUUGGGUGUCCAGGGUGUUAAGGCCUGAAUGUGUGGGGCGUAAUGUUAACUUGGUUUUUAGCUCCCUUGUAGGCAGCUAGAUCUAGAAGAUGUUCCUAAAUGGGAAUCUCUGGAAUUGCAUCUGGCUGAUAGCUUGUUACUGCUUUUUCAGAUGCAGGGAGAGGAGCCACGCAGCAGAGGGUGAUGGAGGAGAGGAGCAGAGCGUGGUGAGGAGCUGGGUCGGUGCGUAUUGAAGAGUCUGGGUGAGUUGUCCCCUGGGUUGUGAGGGAAGGUGUGACUGAUGCCUCUACCAACUGGCUCAUGGUUUGGGUUUGUUUUGUAGGUGCAAAGCACCGAGGGAAGCGGGAGAUCUGCACUGAAGGUGACUCGAGCAAGGCAGCACAGAGGGCUGGACGUGGCAACCUGUGACCAUCAGAGGGCAGACAGGUGAGCCACAAAGUUUUGCAGCCUUGGAGCAGUGGAGCAGCAUGCCAACGGGCCAUCUGUGGAGAUGACACAGGCAUCAGCCAGAUGCUACAAGCAAGGAUGGCCUCAGCGUCAGAUUCUGGAACCAGCAGAUCACUAUGAGGAGCCUGGCGAUGGCAGGAACAUCCCGGCAAGGAUGGCUUGUUGAGGAGGAAGGCUGCGGAGCCCUGGCCAUCUGAAAGCUAAGUGGAGGGGCUGGGAGGAGGGGACAAGGUUGGGGAUUGGAGGGAGGGGUUUCAAAGUUGGUGUAGGGGAGAGGACUGGCAGGGCACCGUCCCCUUGGGGCAGGCAAAGGGACGGGUUACUCUUCAGCACAAUGUCAGUGUGUACAGGGCAGGGCAGCUCCAACCUGUGUCUGGCGUGUACUUCGUGUCGUCUGUUUUCUGUGUCUCAGACUGUAUGUUCUUUGGCUCUUGGUGCCUCCAUAGCUCGGUGACCUAGCAGGCACCUCAGUAGCCCUCCCAAGAGUCCAGAAUGCAUCACUUCACUGGCACAGAGCCUGUUGAGCCCUUCUCAUCUCACAAUUACAGCUUGACGCGUGGAUCUCUUUGGCAUGUGUCACAUCCUGGCUGUUUCGGAGCGUUCAUCUUUUGCGGUGGCCAGCCAGGUGCUGCCCGCAGCUCUGCGCUUGAGUCUUCUGUUUCCACAGAGUCAUUUUCUGGGGUUUCAUCCCCAUGUCCUCACUGGUCUUGGGUCUUCAAGCAUGGCUUCUCACACAUCCCUUAUUCUGGCUUUGAUGGCAGCUUUCUCUUGUGUGUGGCUGCAAUCUCCUCUCCUUGGCAGGUCUGCUUUAGAGCAUCCGUGCCAUCGUGGCACCGUAGGGCUUCUCUGCCAGCAUCAUCUUCCCUAUGGGAAUCUUUCACUGAGCAAGGACAAGAGACUUAUAGAAAGUUACAAAGGUCUUGUGAAACAAAGAUCCUGAUCUUGUUGAAACAAGAAGACGGGGAAGUACGUGCUUUUCUUAAAAUGUGGCAGAAUUGCCGCAGUUGCUGUAGCUGAGUGACGUCUGCUCGUGACAAAAUCAACAAUAUGGAAACCAGACCUUCAGCAUUUAGGCUGCCCACCUCCAACUGAAGACCUACGCACUGUGUGUGCUGUACCUUGAAAUCAGAGUGAGAAAUUCACUAAUCAAUCAGGGUAGAAUAACUGUGAAUAUGUAUUUGGUGGAGGAAGCUAAUCAAAAGUGUGUGAAUGUGUAGAGUUUUGUGACUUCAGGGGGCAGCUUUGUGUCUUACCGCCUCUCGCCCUGUGUUUGCCUAAACAAAUGAAAUAAAUGAAAAUACCUUGGCUCUGUAUGUAUUUUGGCAUCUCGCAUAGUAGGUGAAUGACCCCACUUUUGGUAUAACGAGGUAUAACACUCGGGGUGUCCGUGUGUAGUCCUGGUCUGUGUGUGAGGGUUGGAGCUGCCCUGCCCAGGGAUGCAGCAGUACUGAUGACAGGGUAGCGUAGCUUUAUGGGGGUGUGGAAGUAAGUUGGUUUGGACCAAUUCUGUUGGCAGAGACCAUACGGUCCAUCUCUGGGCAAACAGGUGUAGGCAGCUGCCACAGUUGUGUUCACUUUUCUUUACAGUCCGGGGCUAGGAUUGGAUCCAGCCGCACCUAGACUCCUCUGAGAAGGAGUUUAGAAAGCAAGGGGGUCCAGUCUGAACCUCGUGACUGGUUGGGAGCAGCAGUUAGUGUGGAAGGGGAGCGGGUCAGAUCUGGAAGCUGCCUUAGCUUGCACAGAUGGGGCUCCCUAGCUGGCUUUUCUUCUUCUAGCUGUAGUGAGAAGGUAUAUGCAAAAGGCAGAGAGACCUCUGGCCUCACCAAGCUACCUGUGGUUGUGCGGGUGACUUGCUUUACAGAGUGUGUUUGUGUUGUUUCAGAUGCAGAGCAACAAGCAGCACGGCCAAGGGCACGGAAGAGGGGAGCAGAGUGCCGGCUGAAGAAGGACAGUCAUGCAGCUCCGGAGUAUCGGCAGGACAGCUGGUGGCUCUGACAAGCUUGAGCUUCUCUGGCCGGAUUUUCUGGGUGCAAAUCCAAGCGUGAAGCGAGAUAUUAUCAGCAGAGCGGCCUCUGGCAAGGUGGUACACAAGCCCUCCUAGUCCCCCGGGGUCCCCACCUGGAUGGUUCAGGAUGGCCUGGUGCUGUGCAUUGCAUUUCCAGAGACAAACAGCAGCUUGGCAGCUUGUGGUCAGGACUCUGGAGAGAUUUGGGAAGGCCCCAGAGCACCUUCUGCAUCCUCUCACAGUCAGCAUGAACUUGCUGGAGGAAUCCCAAGGCAGAAUGACCAUGACACCUGAAGCAGAUACCAGCCACCGGUGUGUUCAGAUGCUGAACAAAUAUUUCUCAUACUCCCUUUCAAUUGUUGGAAACCUGCCAGAGUUAAAUCCCAUCUUUCAUUUCUGGAGCUUUGCUGUUUUCCUUAUUUUUCUGCCUCAGGUGCAUGAUCUGAGGUGUUAAUUUGAACUUGGACUGGAAGAUGCAGUUAAAAUACUCAUCUUUAUGCAGAAAGCAACCAGUGAAGACAUUCCCAAGUUUAAAAGGUAACUGAGUCCACAGAUGAGGCUCUGGAGGAAUGGUUCAAGAUGCAGCUUCUCCCAGCUCAGAUGCAUUACACAGACUUGCAGGCUGCUGCUGAGGUAAAUCCUUUUCUUAUUUUCUGCCCCUCAACAGCAGAGUUCAAAGCUCUUCUAAUUGCAGGGGACCUUGGGUGGUUCUUCCUGGAGAAAUUAAGUAGACAAAUUAAAAUGCAGCUUUCAUGGCAUUUUCACUGACACCUCUUGUGCCUGGAGGUCAAAUGUUUUCACUUAUUUAUGGAACUUGGCAUUGUUAUCCUGAAGUAGAAUUUGAUUGUUGUUGUUAUUAUUUCUA